ACCCUACGGGACUUCCAGUUCACAGACAGGGAUGGCAGGGACCAGGGGGUGAAUGUUAGGGAGAAGGCCAAGCAGCUGGUGGCCCUGAUGAGGGAUGAGGAGAGGCUGAAACAGGAGAGGACCCUGGCCCUGAAGACCAAGGAGAGGAUGGCUGGAGCAGCUGCAGGGUCAGGAAUGGGCUCUAGUUCUCUACCUCCACCCUACCCAGGCCGCCGUACCAGCCAGCCCAGCAUGACUGCUCUCUACGGGGAUGACUUCAGCCGGUCCAGGGAGUCCCAUUCCUCUUUCAAUUGUGAGUAGUACCAUGCAACUGGGAAUAUGCAAACACACACACACACACACACACACACACACGCAAUCGCGUUAUUGGAAACAAAGGCUGUUCUGAGGUCGGGCCAGGUCGUGGCUCGAUAAGUUUGAGUCGGGUCAGGGACAAUUUUUUUCUUUUUCAUUUCAGCUAACCCCAACCCCUUUCCUAAACUUAACCUAGUUCUCCUAAAGCUUACUACUCGGUCUACGGAGUUGCCAUGUCGUUUCUCGUCACAAAAGGGGCGGCUCCUUGUCAAUACUCUCUGGCAUUCAACAUACUUUUUUAACUUCCUUAAAAUUGAGACGCGCCAUAUCAUUCCUUCCACAGCCGUGGAGGCAGUGUGGAAGCUUGGUACCUAGAGCUGACAUCUAUACAGUAUAUAGGCUAUUCAUCAAAGUAGCUUAUUUUGCAUUGAUAACCAACAUAUUAUCUCAGCAACUGUUCAAACAGUAAACCAAACAACAAGAAUCCACCCUAAAAGGUAUUUUGUUUAGAAGUAAUAACUAGUGAUUACAGGGUAUGGUGAAAUGGUACAACCAGCUGUAGCCAACUAACAAGGCAAGAGUUUAUUUUCUUUGUGACCAAAACAUGAUGACGUUCUAUUUUUAACUGAUACGUGUCCAGACUUUUGACUGGUACUGUAUAUUUAAGCAAUAAGGCCAGAGGAGCUGUGUUAUAUGGCCAAUGUCGGGUUCUUAUGUACGACGCAACGUGGAGUGACUGGUACAGCCCUUGGUCGUGGUAUAUUGGCCAUAUAUCACAAAACCCGGAGGUGCCUUAUUGCUAUUAUAAACUGGUUACCAACGUGAUUAGAGCAGUCAAAAUAAAUGUUUUGUCAUACCCGUGGUAUACGGUCUGAUAUACCACGCCUUUCAGCCAAUCAGCAUUCAGGGCUCGAACCACCCAGUUUAUAUAUAUAUAUAUAUAUAUACAUUCUCUCAACCAGCUUCACCUGGAAUGUUUUUCCAAC
rnacentral:lncRNA from 13 species